CGCCAAGUAUCAUAAAAACAAAAUUGCUUAUGUAAAAUUCAGACUAUAUGGGAUGUUAUUAUGCAAAGCAUAUGAUAUUUCUGAAGCAAGCAACUGAAUUUAUAUAAUUAACUUGCACCCCUACAGCUGGUCGGCGUGUGAUAGCAAGCAUACUCUCUCUCUCUCUCUCUGGAAACAGGUUGUGGGAAAUCAGGCUGGAAAUCCUCCGUUUCUAGCUUUGAUUUUCAAUCUCAAUUAUUUUUCGACUGCUGGGGGUCAGUGAUUUAAGGCCACACGGAUCUCGGAGAGGUCUGUAGAGGGUACACGACUUAACUUUUAAUUCAGAUUCCCUAUCUGAAGCAUUCGUCCUCUCACAAUGGAGGCAGCUCACACAAAAACGACGGAGGAGGUCCUCAAGUACUUCGGUGUUGACGAAGAGGUUGGCUUGACCGACGAACAGAUUAGGAGAGCAAAGGAGAAAUAUGGACCUAACGAAUUGCCUGCUGAAGAAGGAAAACCACUGUGGGAGCUCAUUGUAGAACAGUUUGAUGACCUCCUUGUAAAGAUCCUGUUACUUGCAGCUGUAAUUUCAUUUGUA